rnacentral:rRNA from 1 species
UACGUAGGGUGCGAGCGUUGUCCGGAAUUAUUGGGCGUAAAGGGCUCGUAGGCGGUCUGUUGCGUCGGGAGUGAAAACUCAGGGCUUAACCCUGAGCCUGCUUCCGAUACGGGCAGACUAGAGGUAUGCAGGGGAGAACGGAAUUCCUGGUGUAGUGGCGAAAUGCGUAGAUAUCCGGAGGAACACCAGUGGCGAAGGCGACUUUCUGGCCUGUUCUUGACGCUGAGGCGCGAAAGCUAGGGGAGCAAACGGG